rnacentral:rRNA from 1 species
AUUGAACGCUGGCGGCAGGCCUAACACAUGCAAGUCGAGCGGAUGACGGGAGCUUGCUCCUUGAUUCAGCGGCGGACGGGUGAGUAAUGCCUAGGAAUCUGCCUGGUAGUGGGGGACAACGUUUCGAAAGGAACGCUAAUACCGCAUACGUCCUGCGGGAGAAAGCAGGGGACCUUCGGGCCUUGCGCUAUCAGAUGAGCCUAGGUCGGAUUAGCUAGUUGGUGGGGUAAUGGCUCACCAAGGCGACGAUCCGUAGCUGGUCUGAGAGGAUGAUCAGUCACACUGGAACUGAGACACGGUCCAGACGCCUACGGGAGGCAGCAGUGGGGAAUAUUGGACAAUGGGCGAAAGCCUGAUCCAGCCAUGCCGCGUGUGUGAAGAAGGUCUUCGGAUUGUAAAGCACUUUAAGUUGGGAGGAAGGGCAGUAAGUUAAUACCUUGCUGUUUUGACGUUACCGGCAGAAUAAGCACCGGCUAACUCUGUGCCAGCAGCCGCGGUAA